rnacentral:lncRNA from 1 species
CUUUUUUUUAAUAUUUUAUUUAUUUAUGAGAACACACGGAGAGGAGAAAGAGAAGCAGAGAAACAGGCAGAGGGAGAAGCAGGCUCCAUGCAGGGAGCCUGAUGUGGGACUCGAUCCUGGGUCUCCAGGAUCACACCCUGGGCUGCAGGUGGCGCUAAACUGCUGAGCCACUGGGGCUGCCCAAUUCUUAACUUUUAAAGUAAUUGCAAGAUCUUUUUCCAAAAUGUAUCACUUUAUACUUGCACCAACAAUAUAUGAGAGUUCUGGUUAAUCCACAUCCUGCUCAACAUUUGUUUUUUUAAUUUGGCGGGGGGGCGGGAGCGGACUUUAGCUUUAGCCUUAUGGUAUAUGUAGUGGUAUCUUAUUGUGUGUGGCUUUAUUUUGCAUUUCCCUGGUCCCAAAUGAUGUUGAGCAUCUUUUCAUAUGCUUUGUGGCCAUACAUAUGUUUUCUCUUGUGAAGAGUUUGUUAAAUUCUUUUUGCACCCCCCCCCCCCCCCAUCUUUUGUAUUGGCUUGUUUGCCUUUUUACUACUCAGUUGUAGGAGUUCCAAAGUUAAAUUCCUGCUUUGGUUUUUCUGGGUGCCCUAUGAGGACACACUCAUGAAGGAUUUUGCUCAGUCUCUUGCUCACAACCAUGCUUCUAAAGAGCCAAAUUUGAUGGUGGACAGAUCUGCCUAGAUAUACCCCAACCAACCAGAAAGGGGAUGUCAAAAAGAUAUCUUUAUGUAAUUAUGCCCUCAUCCUACUUCCAUCUAGUGUUCUUCUCCCACUACACAUGAAAUAGAGGCUAUGAGUUUAGAUGUCGGACAAAUCCCCACACCAGCUUUUAAUCCACCGGAGCAUGAACAACCUAGUGUCACUUUUCUUCUGUAAAAUGGAUAAGCCUACUUUCAGGGUUGGUGUUAAAGACUAGAAAUUAUGUAUAUGUGGGACGUAGAAUGUAGUGAGUGUUUAAUAAUAUUGACUGUCAUUUACUCAAACAAUUCUUUGAUGUAGGGUCUAUGAUCUCUUGUUUUACAGAUAAGAAAACAGGUACAGAAACCAAGAUAUUGCCUAAGAUCAUAGUGAGUCAUGAAGCCAGAACUAGAGUUCACACCAUCAAACUCAAACAAAACAAAAACCAAAAGAGGAGCUGCCAUCAUUAUGAUUAUUUUAUAUUCUAUGCUUUCUCUCCUUUUGAAAUUGCCUCUCCCCAUCAUUCAAGACCCGCCACCUCCAGGAGACUUACCUUCUCUUCUCUAGUGUUAUAGUCUUCUGUGCACUUCUGCUAUAGCCUGUGUUCUAUUUCCAAUAUCUGUGGCCCCAUGUGCUCCUGAAAGAGCUCUUGGUCACCUUAGUAUUCCUGUUACCUAAGCAAGGAGGCUAGUAUACAGUAGGUGCUCAGCAAUGUCUGAACAAACAAGUCACAGCACAGUUCAUAGUGUCCCCACACUGCCACACUAUUCAGGUCAAGUUCUGUGCAUUCUUUAGGGACUGCUAGAGGGUGCACCUUCCAGGGAAUCUUUCCCCAAGUUGUGAUCCUUCCUAUUUCCUCCACACCAUAGGAUUCUACAGGAUGAGACUGUCUUUAUCCCUCCUCCCCAGAGUCUGUGAUAAGUCUGUGCAGCAGACAGAAGAAGCCACACUGCGGCUUGGAGACAAAGCUGGGCUGCAUGCUUUGGAGCUGGCUCCAAAUCAUCCUCUCCUCUCUGGGGCACUGUGUGGCCUCAAGAAACAGUCAGUUGGAGAUGCUGGCUCUGAAGGCUGGCCAAACCCCUGUGGUUUGGCAGGAGAAAAGAUCAUUGUCCAAGCAGGAAGUGGUCUUGGGUCUCAGCUGACCCUAGACUUUUCCAGGCAGGGCUGGGGCUCAUAGCAGCUGAACUGGAGGCUCCCCGCAGGCUCACACACAAUUCUCCCUCUCUGGAAGACUAGAGAUCCCUGUCCCCAGGCAGGCUCCCUGCCCCAAAUCCCACAAAUCUUAGCAUCACGUGCCUGGAGUACUAAGAGAUUUCUUGACAUACUGACAGCAACCAAGUUAGUCUAGCUUCCCAUCAUUUGCCCUGGAGGGAGCAGGGUGAUCCUGGGAGCUGAGAAGCCUUGUAUAGCAGAGCCAUAGAGCUCACAGGCUGCAGCCCAAUCAGGUGGUUGAGCUUUGCUACUCCAAAGGAAGGGAGAGCGCAAAAGGACAGAGACCGUAUCUUUUGUGUGCAGCAAAGUCAUAAGCAAUCCAGAAAAACUGGAAAAUUUCACAUGAGACUAGCCCCAGCCCAGUUUAGUAGAUGAUCUCAACUUGGACACAGAGGCUUUUAGACAAAAGGAACACAAAACUCCCACAAGUUUCUCACUAGCGCUGGAAAAAAGCACUUAAGAGCUGUCACUUACAAUGGUCUCCUGCAGGGGUGAAAGCAGGCUGGUACUAUGGGAAGACUGCAGGCCCAUCACUCACUCAGCCUGGAUAGUACAAAGAGCUUUGGGAUUUAGGCUGAAGGCCACUGAUCCCAUGGGUGGCUUUGAUGUCUGAAGGGAGGUGGAGGGGCUUAUUUCUUCUGAUGUGAGAAAUGACUUGAUGCCCCUUAUGGCUGGGUCCUAGAACCCUCCUUACUCCUUCCACUCCCCUUCUCUCCCUGAGCACAUUCACUUACUUACCACC